AGAGUUUGAUUCUGGCUCAGGAUGAACGCUGGCGGCGUGCCUAACACAUGCAAGUCGAACGGAGUUAUAUAACGGAAGUUUUCGGAUGGAAGAUAUGUAACUUAGUGGCGGACGGGUGAGUAACGCGUGGGCAACCUGCCCUGUACCGGGGGAUAACACUUAGAAAUAGGUGCUAAUACCGCAUAAGCGCACAGCUUCGCAUGAAGCAGUGUGAAAAACUCCGGUGGUACAGGAUGGACCCGCGUCUGAUUAGCUAGUUGGUGGGGUAGAGGCCCACCAAGGCGACGAUCAGUAGCCGGCCUGAGAGGGUGACCGGCCACAUUGGGACUGAGACACGGCCCAAACUCCUACGGGAGGCAGCAGUGGGGAAUAUUGCACAAUGGGGGAAACCCUGAUGCCAGCGACGCCGCGUGAGUGAAGAAGUAUUUCGGUACGUAAAGCUCUAUCAGCAGGGAAGAAAAUGACGGUACCUGACUAAGAAGCCCCGGCUAACUACGUGCCAGCAGCGGC
rnacentral:rRNA from 1 species